rnacentral:lncRNA from 1 species
CAUGAAUUGUUGUGUCAGAGUGGAGGAAAAAUGAGGGGCUUUCUGAAGAAAACUCUCCCUCUAGCCGAGAAUCUGUGGCAAAAGGAACAAAGUGACCCAAGGUUCACUGAAGAGGCUGCGAUGCCCUGAAUACUGUGCUAUAGCUUCAUGACUUCAUCUGGCAGCUUUGUGAGGUUGAAUGGUCCUGUCUUGGAUCACACAGAUCAUUGAGAAUACAAAAGUGCAAUGCCAGGCACAAACCUCCAGGCUUGUGGAGUACCCCUGAGCAUUACCACUGGGAACAGCAAAAUCAGGUGUGUACCGCCUCACACAGAUGCAAACCUGCCUGCUCUCUUGAUUUUGUGCUGCAUACUGGUUCCUUUUGGCGUGUCAGCACUCCUGAAGCCAACGUGCUGCAGCACACGCACACGGUGCAGGAAGCACACAAGCUGGAGAACAUGACCGCAUGGAUGGCCACCAGCUCUGCAGGCAGCACCCAUCCUCUGCCUGCACCCUUCUCAUCCUCAGGCAGCCAUGCCGGGCCCUUGGGUCAUGACUACAGGGUUGAACCUAAAACACCUUGUCCCAAGACGCUUGAUGUUUGUUCUCAUUUGGUUCUUCACCCUUCUGGAGGAGGAAGCAGGUGUGUCCCUUUUUUUCCUGGAAUCAGACUGGAACCAGCACUCCAGCUUCAACAUGCAAAACUGUGGUGUGAGGGUUUGCCUCAGAGUGAUUGCUAAGGCCACAUGGGUGACAGCACAUACCCAGAUUCCCCUGCUUGGCUCUUUGCUGCCUCUGACUGUUCUUGGAAGUAGAGCCCCAUUUUCACAUUUUCUUGGAAUAAUCGCAUAUUAAGAACAUCUCUUCUGAGAGUCUUCUGCAGCUGCUUCAUAUCACUUCUUCGGGAGUUUUUCUGUAUGAUCUGAAAAAGGCGUCCUCCAGAUCGAACUUACCUGCCUAUGUUGAAGCCAUAACCUUGUUUCCCAGCAUGAGGGGGUACUCAGGCCUCCUAGCAAUCCUUGGUAAAGCCAGUAUCUCCCAGGCAGUUUGCAUCAAGUAAGCUUGAAAGAAAUAUGAGAAGGAGGGAAAAAAUGAGAAAAAAAGCUGGUUGGUGUUAAGAAAAAAAAAAACUCAUUGUUUUUCUUCCUUUUCUUUUUUUUUUUUUUUUUUUUUUUUUUUUUUUUUUCCCUGCCAAUUUCAUUUUUCUAAAUAACGUUGCUAAGCUCAAACAUUAACCCAUCAGGCAUCUCUCUGCUGGUUUUCAACAUAGGUGCUCACAGGCACUGUUUCAUCCCAGUUAGAAUCUCUAUGUGUAACAAUCUCCUUUUCUACUUCUACCAAUCAUCUAGCCUUUUCAUUUGUCAUUGGGUGAUGGUGUGUUGACAAUCCAAGUUAAUAACUUAUCUUCCUGAACUUAUCUUAUCUUCUACCUAAGUACUACUGAAUGCCAGAGGGACUAUCUGUCACAAGAUUAGAAAGGGCAGGAUAAUAGGAGUCAUAAUUACAGAUCUAAUUUUGCAUAUAUAUAAUAAAAGAAAGUCAGAUGUGGUAAAAGCA